rnacentral:lncRNA from 1 species
UAAAAUGAAAGCUGCAUGUCAAAUUUGGGGAAAUAUUUUUAACAGUUAUGACAAACUAAUGAUAACAGUGAGGAUGUUACCCAGAAUGCCAUCUGGGCAACUAGAGUCAUGUAAUGGGAUAAGUAGAGAGGUUAAACAGAAAACCAGAGGUGCUAUAAGAGAAAUAGCCACGAAAUACAUUAAGCAAUGCCUAGCUUCAGUAUAAUGGUGGGAAUUAAAGCAUUAGAAAAUGAAUCUUUUCAUCCAUUGUAAUGCAAAAGGUUAGAGUUUUGCCAAAAUUUUCUCAGGAUGAUGCUCUAACUGGUCUGCAUCAUGUAAGGAAGUAAGAUGCCCCUGUUUCCUGGCCUCAGGACAGGGUUUGGGGAUCCGGCCAUCGGCACUAGGAAGAGCUGUAAGCAGCCCAUGCCUUUCAUGCCAGCACUUGAGAGAGAAAGGCAAGAGAAGCUCUGUGAGUUAGAAGUCAGCCUGGUCUACAUAGUGAGUUCAAGAACAGCCAGGGCUACAGAGACCCUGUCACACGGGAAAACAAACAAACAAACAAACAAACAAACAAAACCCAGAAGAGGAAGGCUGAAAAAGGUCAGUUUUCUCUAAGCAAACAUUCUCACAGCUGAAGAGUACUAUAUGUUUCUUUUAAAAUUAAAAAAAAAAAAAAGACAUUUUAAAUUUUACUGCCCAUGCGCAGAGAAAGAGGGACCUUGGAGCAAGCACAUGGUCUUAAAUGGAAAGUCUUCAUCCAGCCCUUCCCCUCAUGACUCAGGCAUCUCAGCCGGGCGGUGGUGGCGCACACCUUUAAUCCCAGCACUUGGGAGGCAGAGGCAGGCUGAUUUCUGAGUUUGAGGCCAGCCUGGUCUACAAAGUGAGUUCCAGGACAGCCAGGGCUAUACAGAGAAACCCUCUCUCUAAAUUGGUUAUUUUAUUUAUUUACAUUUCAAUGUUAUCCCCCUUACCAGUUUCCCCUCUGCAAACCCCCAUCCCAUUCCCCCUCUCCCUCUUCUAUGAGGGAGCUCACCUACCCACCCAUGCACCACCCACCCACUCCUGCCUCACCGCCCUAGCAUUCCCCUACCCUGGGACAUCAAGCCUCCACAGGGCCAAGGACCUCUCCUCCCACUGAUUCCAGAUAAAGUCGGCCUCUGCUACAUAUGCAGCUGUUGCCAUGGGUCCUUCCAUGUAUACUUUUUGGUUGGUGGUUUAGUCCCUGGGAGCUCUGGUCUGGUUGGUUGAUAUUGCUCUUCCUCCAUUGGAGUCCCCAGGCUCAGUCUGAUGAUUGGCUGCAACCAUCUGCAUCUAUACUGGUCAGGCUCUGGCAGAGACUAUCAAGACACAGCCAUACCAGGCUCCCUGUGCCACAGUCCUCUGCACCCCAAUCCCAUCCAGAGAACACUUGUCCCCCAGGAGUGUUGACACACCCAAGCUCACAGGUAGUCAGUGUUUUAAACGGAGAAUCAAACCAAGCAAUAUAGGGCUUGGCCACAGUUUCCCCAUGCUACUUCCUCCACAGUGAAAAUCCUGCUUCCCAAAACAUAAGUAUACAAUGGACUUCCUUCCCAGGCAUUUUGACUUAUAAACAGAAAUAAGGAGCCAUGGGCUGAGAACAGUGGGGGGAUAUUACUUAUACCCAAACCCAGGUUUCCUAUACAACUUAGAGUAUGGAACUCAACAAAUAGAAUUAAAUAAAACUAUCAUCUUGAUAAUGAUUACAUGGAAUAAAAGAAUGAUAUUUGAAAGUG